rnacentral:rRNA from 1 species
AUUGAACGCUGGCGGCAGGCCUAACACAUGCCAGUCGAACGGUAACAGGAAACAGCUUGCUGUUUCGCUGACGAGUGGCGGACGGGUGAGUAAUGUCUGUGACACUUCCUGGUGGAGGGGGUUAACUACUGGAAACGGUAGCUAAUACCGCCUAGCGUCGCAAGACCAAAGAGGUGGACCUUCGGGCCUCUUGCCUUCGGCUGUGCCCAGAUGGGAUUAGCUAGUGGGUGGGGUAACGGCUUACCAAGGCGACGAUCCCUAGCUGGUCUGAGAGGAUGACCAGCCACACUGGAACUGAGACACGGUCCAGACUCCUACGGGAGGCAGCAGUGGGGAAUAUUGCACAAUGGGCGCAAGCCUGAUGCAGCCAUGCCGCGUGUAUGAAGAAGGUCUUCGGGUUGUAAAGUACUUUAAGCGGGGAGGAAGGGAGUAAAGUUAAUACCUUUGCGUAUUGACGUUACCAGCAGAAGAAGCACCGGCUAACUCCGUG